GAUGAACGCUGGCGGCGUGCCUAAUACAUGCAAGUCGAGCGAACAGACGAGGAGCUUGCUCCUCUGACGUUAGCGGCGGACGGGUGAGUAACACGUGGAUAACCUACCUAUAAGACUGGGAUCACUUCGGGAAACCGGAGCUAAUACCGGAUAAUAUAUUGAACCGCAUGGUUCAAUAGUGAAAGACGGUUUUGCUGUCACUUAUAGAUGGAUCCGCGCCGCAUUAGCUAGUUGGUAAGGUAACGGCUUACCAAGGCAACGAUGCGUAGCCGACCUGAGAGGGUGAUGGGCCACACUGGAACUGAGACACGGUCCAGACUCCUACGGGAGGCAGCAGUAGGGAAGCUUCCGCAAUGGGCGAAAGCCUGACGGAGCAACGCCGCGUGAGUGAUGAAGGUCUUCGGAUCGUAAAACUCUGUUAUUAGGGAAGAACAAAUGUGUAAGUAAGUAUGCACGUCUUGACGGUACCUAAUCAGAAAGCCACGGCUAACUACGUG
rnacentral:rRNA from 1 species